AACGCACCUUGCGCUCCUUGGCACUCCGAGGAGCACGCCUGUUUGAGUGUCAUUGAAUUCUCAAAUCCCCGCCUGUCUUUCCUUCUCUCAGCUCUCUUCCCGCGAGGGUGUGUGUGUGUUCGAGUCGGAAGUGGCAGCACGGCGGCUUUGGAUUGGUGGAGGUCUUUGCAGGGCCCAUCUCCUGCUCCUCUGAAAUGCAUUAGCAAGAAGCCAUGGUGGCGUCCACGCUCGUCGUCGGCAUGAUAAUUCUCAUCUCUUGCCAAUGGCCAAGCGGAACUGCUGCCCUGUCCCCUGCUCCCAAACUGUGCCAGAUUCUUCUGCACAAGUCUGACAUUCUGACCUCAAAUCAGGUGGGACUACCCACUGAACUUAA
rnacentral:misc_RNA from 1 species